CCCUUAGAUGUUCUGGGCCGCACGCGCGCUACACUGAUGCAUUCAACAAGCCUAGCCUUGACCGAGAGGUCCGGGUAAUCUUUGAAACUGCAUCGUGAUGGGGCUAGAUUAUUGCAAUUAUUAAUCUUCAACGAGGAAUGCCUAGUAAGCGUGAUUCAUCAAAUCGCGUUGAUUACGUCCCUGCCCUUUGUACACACCGCCCGUCGCUCCUACCGAUUGAAUGUGUUGGUGAGGAGCUCGGAUUGGCAGCAGUUGGUGGUUCGCCACCGGCUAUUGCUGAGAAGUCCUCCAAACCGCCCCAUUUAGAGGAAGGAGAAGUCGCAACA
rnacentral:rRNA from 1 species